CCCAUUUACGACACCGUUUCAGAUUUAUACAGUCUAUUUCAUUUUUGAAUUUUUUAAUAUUUAAUUGAUUCACUGCAGAUCGGCUUGGCUUGCAGCCUUAAAUCUGAUUCUCCCUUUCUUCACCAACGCAAUUCUACUAUUUUCUCAUUCAAAAAUUUCUCUCUCCAUCGAAAAAUUAGGAAUUUCUAUUCUGCACGGGAUUUGGUUAUGGAUAUCCAAAAUCAAUCUUUUUCUUGCUUCAAUCUUUUCUUCUUCUUCUUCUUCUCCGCAAGCUUCCAUGUUCGAAUUUUAUUAUUUUUCUUAUUCCACAAGAACCAAUUUUGUGUGGAGAACAUCACUAAAUCCAUCUCCGACGCAAUCGAACAGUUUACUUUGAAGACGACGGGGAGAAAAUCCUUUGCGGCUACAGGGGAAAAAUCCUUUGUUGAGUUAUUGUUCCUAUUAUAUGUUUCAUUGGUCGAAGAUGAAUAGAAGAAUUUUAAAUGAGGAGCAUGUCAAUGUUGGGAGAGAAUUAAAAUAAUGGUAGCUUUAUGGGUCCUAAAGCAUUAUGAUUUGUAGGCAUUUAUAUUUGUUUGUAUCCGAUAUUGUUAAACUGUAGUCUAGAUUUACGACUCUUUCAUUUUUUUGGGUUGAUAUCUUCUUCACUACUUGUAACUUAUGAUCAUUAUUAAAGAAACAUUGUUGUUUCUUAUUAUUAAAAAUAGGCCGACGUCGUCUCCAGUGUGCGGUACUGUUGUUAUGAGUAUAUGAUAUUGAAACUCAUUUGUUGUUUCA